rnacentral:rRNA from 1 species
GACGAACGCUGGCGGCGUGCUUAACACAUGCAAGUCGAACGGUGACGAAGAGCUUGCUCUUCUGAUCAGUGGCGAACGGGUGAGUAACACGUGAGCAACCUACCCUUGACACUGGGAUAACAGUUGGAAACAGCUGCUAAUACCGGAUAUGAACCUCACAGGCAUCUGAAAGGUUGGAAAGCUCCGACGGUCAAGGAUGGGCUCGCGGCCUAUCAGCUUGUUGGUGAGGGAACGGCUCACCAAGGCGACGACGGGUAGCCGGCCUGAGAGGGCGACCGGCCACACUGGGACUGAGAUACGGCCCAGACUCCUACGGGAGGCAGCAGUGGGGAAUAUUGCGCAAUGGGCGAAAGCCUGACGCAGCAACGCCGCGUGCGGGAUGACGGCCUUCGGGUUGUAAACCGCUUUCAGCAGGGACGAAACUGACGGUACCUGCAGAAGAAGCACCGGCUAACUACGUGCCAGCCGCCGCGGUAA